CAGACGGAAGUAUUGCACGCGGGAAAAAGUUCGUUUGAUCAACAGCCAUACGCCAUCGUUGUAUGAGUGGGUGAAGAUGAAUUUAAUGCGAUUCCACUCUCCUGUAUAAAGGAUCCAAGAAAAGAUUUUAGUAAAUACCUUGAGGGAGAAUGCAUAAGCAUGAAAACCUCCAGAUCUUGGUUUCCCUGGCCUGAAUCUUCGACGCCAUUUUGUUAGCAGUUCGAGAUGGAUUCAAGCAAAUUAAGAAGUGGAUUAUCCUAAGAAUUCGUUGGAUACAGACAAGGCCUAUAGAUCUAUAUGAAAAUCAGAAUGAUUACCUCAUAGUGGACUAUAAGGCCUACAACAUGCAACAGCUAGCUAUUUCUAAUCAGAGAGGUGGGAAGACCCGGUAGGAUGUAAUACCAAGUAAACAGUAAAUGGAAAUUUAAAUUAUAAAAAAGGUAGUGCCUGAAAAAGACAAUUUAAGACUUGAUAUUUUGAAUGAAAAAUAAAAAUUGAAAUAUAUUUGUCUCGAUUAUUUUUUAAAGUAUAUUGCAGGAUGAAAAGCUAGCAUAUCCUUGCUGAAUAAGUGCUGUAACAUUGCUGAAUAGGUGGGGUAUUAUUGCUGAAACGGCACUGAAUAAUUGCUGAAACGGCACUGAAUAUUUGCUGAGACAGCACUGAAUAAUUGCUGAAACAGUACUUAAUAUUUGCUGAAACAGUACUUAAUAUUUGCUGAAACAGCACUGAAUAAUUGCUGAAACAGUGCUGAAUAAUUGCUGAAACAGUACUUAAUAUUUGCUGAAACAGUGCUGAAUAAUUUCUGAAACAGUGCUGAAUAAUUGCUGAAACGGCACUGAAUAAUUGCUGAAUAUUUCUGAAACCUUGCUUACUUAUAGUUUGAAAACUGUAUGAAACAUUGCUGAAAUUUUGGCUGAAACAUCACUCGCAAUUGGCUGAAACACCAAGUCUGAAACAUGCCUGGAAUGUUCCAAUUACAGGCAUGUUUCAGACUUUUGUUUCAGACUUGAUUCAGAUAGACAAUUCUGGAAUGUUUCAGGAAAAUUUCAGAAAUGUUUCAGGAAAAUUUCAGACUAAAAUUUUCAUGAGGGUGUGCACGCGCAUGCGUGCGUGUGCAGACAAAAUAACUAUUAUUAUUCAUAUCUAUAAAUGAUAUACUACCAUCCUAUUUAGGUUUCAUAUCAAUCCCUUUAAUAUUCUGAUUUUCCAUUUUUUGUACCAAAAUGGCAGUGCACAUGCGUGCAGGUGCAUGCUCGUGCAGACAAAAUGACUAUCACUAUGCACAUCUACAAGCGCUAUACUAUCAUCCCGGUAAGUUUCAUAUCAAUCCCUUUUGUAGUUUCUGAGAACACUACCGGAUAAAAAAGUACCGGAGAAAAAGAAUAAUAACUAGAAACUCAUUACUAGUAAUGAGUAGGUCUUCCGUUAGACCACUUCCGGUAAAGAGCUUUCUGUUCCUACGAAAACCAUUUAAAUAUAUCAGAAAAUGUGCCUUAACAAUGAAUGAGAAAUAUAUUAUCGAAUUUUUUACUCAUUUCUCGUAACUUCCGGUGAUGACCGGAAGUACUUUUAUGAUGCGUUUUCCUAUAAAUGACAGCGACUCUUUACUGUCUAUAUUCCCUGAAAAUUUCACGUCUCUAUCUGAAAGAGUUCUCAAGAGAAAGAAGUAGACUAAAGAAAGAAAAAGUAGUAGGUUACUACCGACCGGAAGUCAAUUUUGAAAAACAAAAUGAUCCAAACUCUAGAAGUUGAUACUUUUAUUAUGACAUGUGAAAAUCAUAUGAAAGACUUCAAAUAUACGCGAGAUUUAUGGUGACAAAGAGAUGAAAAGUAAAAAGGUAUUUUAUCAAGAAACCGGAAGUAGUUGUUUUGACUAUCAACGGAGUCAAUAUUCUUUUGACACUUUGAAAGAGAGUUAAUAAACUAGUAUAGGUUUCAAUUUAAAGGAAAAAGUUUGAAAUUUGCGAUUCUUUCCAUCACUUCCGGUGACGACAGGAAGUGACGGUCGACAUGUUCAGCCCUCUACUGCACGACUGCAAACGGAGAUUUAUAAUUCCUGAAUAAUUGAUGAACCUAUAUUUUACCUUUUCCAAGAAAAAUGCUGGACAAAAUUCCUUUUGAGAAACAGAAAAUCGGCCAUAUUAUCCGACCGGAAGUGAAUUUUGUAAAAACAAAAAUAGUUAUAGGAAGGUCCUUUCAUAAGACAUUAUUCCUGAAAAUUUCAAGAAAAUCUAUCCACCAUCUCUGAGAAAUCACUCGAAGAAAUCGGAAAAUCUACAUUUUUCAAAUACUUCCGGUAUAGACCGGAAGUGACGGACGAAAAAAUUGAAUGUAUGUGUACAAUGGACUAAUGUUAGUUGAUCAACUCUACAAGUUUCAAGCGUCUAUCUAUAUUCAUUAUUGAGAAACUGAAAAAACUAGGUUUGAAUAUGUCCACCCCAUAUCUCACGACCGGAAGUGAAUUUUACAAAACUAUUUAAAUUUACACUAGACAUUUAUAAUGUCUAUAACAUAUGUAAAAUUCAAAUCAUUAACUUGUUUUAUGACCGAGAUUUAUGGCACUGAAAAAUGAGAGAAUGAAUAGUUUUUCUUUCAUAUAACCGGAAGUUGGAGAUUCAACUUCUGGUGGGGUCAAUAGUUUUUGAGAAUUAAAACGAGACCUAAUAAACCGAUAUAGGUUUCAAUUUGAAAGAAAAAAGUUUGAAAUUUAUGAUUUAUUAAUCACUUCCGGUGACGACCGGAAGUGACGGCCGACAUUCUUACCCCCCUACUGCACCCCUACAAAGUGAGAUCUAUUAACUCUGAAAUUUUGGUGACUCUAUCUUUUACCGUUUCUGAAAAAAACGAUUGACAACGAAAACAGCUCAUAAGCCGUAUUUGCUGACCGGAAGUGAAUUUUGCAAAAAUAUUUGACGUUACUUUAGACAUUUAUAGUGACUAUAAUAUAAGUAAAACUCAACUCAUUAUCUAGUUUCAUGACCGAGAAUUAUGGCACUGAAAAAUGAGAGAAUGAAUAGUCUUUCUUUGAUACAACCGGAAGUUGGAGAUUCAACUUCCGGUGGGGUCAACAUUUUUUGAGAAUUAGAACGAGAUAUAGUAAACCAAAGUAGGUUUCAAUUUGAAAGAAAAAAGUUUGAAAUUGAUGAUUUAUUUGAUCACUUCCGGUGACGACCGGAAAUGACGGCGACAAAAAAUAUUACGUGCAUGCACCAUAGAGAAAAUAGAUCUAUCAUCCCUGAAAGUUUCAUUCGAUUAUCUUUAGUGGUUUUCAAGUUUACCCCCGGACAAAGUUUCUUUCAAAAACCGGAAAAUCGGACGUAUCUGACGAACGGAAGUGAAUUUUGAAAAAAUUAAAAAAACGCCUCGAGGUACCAUCGUGAAACCUGUGAAAGUUUCAGGAAAAUCCAUCCAACGGUCUCGGAGACGAAAGGGAAAAAAAAAAAAUAAUAAUAAUAACUAGAAACUCAUUACUAGUAAUGAGUAGGUCUUCCGUUUGUUCACUUCCGGUAAAGAGUUUUCUGAUCCUACAAAAACCAUUCAAAUAUAUCAGAGAAUGUACUUUAACAAUAAAUGAGAAGUGUAUUAUCGAAUUUUUUACUCAUUUCUUGUAACUUCCGGUGUCGACCGGAAGUACUAUUCAGAUGUGUUUUCCUAUAAAUGACAGCGACUCUUUACUGUCUAUAUUCCCUGAAAAUUUCACGUCUCUAUCUGAAAGAGUUCUCAACAAAAAGAAGUAGACUAAAGAAAGAGAAAGUAGUAGGUUACUACCGACCGGAAGUCAAUUUUGAAAAACAAAAUCAUCAAAACUCUAGAAGUUGAUAGUUUUUAAAAAUUAAGACAUGUGAAAAUCAUAUGAAAGACUUCAAAUAUAAGCGAGAUUUAUGGGGAGAAAGAGACAAAAAGAAAAAAGGUAUUUUAUGAAGAAACCGGAAGUAGUUGUUUUGACUACCGACAGACUCAAUAUUCUUUUGACACUUUGAAAGAGAGUUAAUAAACUAGUAUAGGUUUCAAUUUGAAAGAAAAAGUUUGAAAUUUGCGAUUCCUUCAAUCACUUCCGGUGACGACAGGAAGUGACGGUUCAACCCCCUACUGCACGCUUAUAAACGGAGAUUGAUUAUCCCUGAAUAUUUGAUGAACCUAUAUUUUACCUUUUCCAAGAAAAAUGCUGGACAAAAUUCAUUUUGAGAGACAGAAUAUCGGCCAUAUUUUUCGACCGGAAGUGAAUUUUGUAAAAACAAAAAUAAUUAUAGCAAGGUCAUUUCAUAAGACAUUAUUCCUGAAAAUUUCAAGAAAAUAUAUCCAGCCAUCUCUGAGAAAUCACUCGAAGAAAUCGGAAAAUCGACAUUUUUUAAAACACUUCCGGUAUAGACCGGAAGUGACGGACGAAAAAAUUGAAUGUAUGUGUACAAUGGACUAAUGUUAGUUAAUCAACUCGACAAGUUUCAAGCGUCUAUCUAUAUUCAUUAUUGAGAAACUGAAAAAACAAGGCUUCAAUAUAUCCACCCCAUAUCUCACGACCGGAAUUGAAUUUUACAAAAAUAUUUAAGUAUACUCUAGACAUGUAUAGUGUCUAUAACAUAUGUAAAAUUCAAAUCAUUAACUUGUUUUAUGACCGAGAUUUAUGGCACUGAAAAAUGAGAGAAUGAAUAGUCUUUCUUUGAUAUAACCGGAAGUUGGAGAUUCAACUUCCGGUGGGGUCAACAUUUUUUGAUAAUUAGAACGAGACCUAAUAAACCAAUAUAGGUUUCAAUCUGAAAGAAAAAAGUUUGAAAUUUAUGAUUUAUUAAUCACUUCCGGUGACGACCGGAAGUGACGGCCGACAUUCUUAACCCCCUACUGCACGCCUACAAAGUAAGAUCUAUUAACUCUGAAAAUUUGAUGACUGUAUCUUUAACCGUUUCUGAGAAAAACGCUGUACAACGAAAACAGCUAAUAAGCCGUAUUUGCCGACCGGAAGUGAAUUUUACAAAAAUAUAUAAAGUUACUCUAGACAUUUAUAGUGACUAUAAUAUAUGUAAAACUCAACUCAUUAACUAGUUUCAUGACCAAGAUUUAUGGCACUGAAAAAUGAGAGAAUUAAUAGUCUUUCUUUGAUAUAUCCGGAAGUUGGAGAUUCAACUUCCGGUGGGAUCAACAUUUUUUGAGAAUUAGAACUAGACCUAGUAAAACGAUAUAGGUUUCAAUUUGAAAGAAAAAAGUUUGAAAUUGAUGAUUUAUUUAAUCACUUCCGGUGACGACCGGAAGUGAUGGCGACAAAAAAUAUUACGUGCAUGCACCAUAGAGAAGAUAGAUCUGUCAUCCCUGAAAGUUUCAUUCGAUUAUCUUUUGUGGUUUUCAAGUUUACCCCUGGACAAAGUUUCUUUCAAAAACCGGAAAAUCGGACGUAUCUGACGAACGGAAGUGAAUUUUGAAAAAAUGAAAAAAAUGCCUCGAGGUACCAUCGUUGUCUAUAACCUGUGAAAGUUUCAGGAAAAUCCAUCCAACGGUUUAGGAGACGAAAGGAAAAAAAAAAAAAAUAAUAAUAACUAGACACGAUCUCGUUGCGAGCAACGAGUAGGUCUUCCGUCCGAUUUGUUGAUGCACUCGGAGUUAAAAAAGAAAAAAAAAGACAAAUGAGUCCCAAUUUAGUUUCCGACUUUAAGACACUUUAGAUAUAAUCAAUUUUUCAUAUCAUAAGCUUCUGAAGCAAAGUUGCGGUGAAAUUCGUUUGAAAUUCGACUCUCCAGGCGAGCCAUAAGGCCCGCGGGCCUAUUUCUUGAUGUCAUUUGUUAGCCCUCUAUAGACUCAACAACUUUAGUUCUAUAUGUCUUUACAAAAUAUUUACCUGUAAAAAGUUAUUGAGAUCGACCGAUAUCGACAAAAAAUCGACUCUACAGGCGAGCCAUUAGGACCAUAGGCCUAUUUCUUGAUAUCAAUCGAUAGAUCUCGAUAAACUGAACAACUUUUGUUCAAUAUGUUUUUACAAAAUAUUUACGAGUUACAAGUUUUUGAAAUCGACUGAUAUCGACAAAAAUCGACUCUACAGGCGAGCUGUUAGGCUCGCGGCCUAUUUCUUGAUAUGAAGCGAUAAAUCUCGAUAAACUGAACAACUUUUGUUCAAUAUCUCUUAACAAAAUAUUUACCAGUAAAAAGUGACGGAGAUUGACUAAUAUCGACAGAAAUUCGACUCUACAGGUGAGCUAAAAUGUCCGCGGGCCUAUUUCUUGAUAUCAGUCCACAGAUCUCGAUGAACUGAACAACUUUUGUUCUACAUGUUUUAACAAAAUAUUUACCAGUAAAAUGUUAUUGAUAUCGACAGUAUCGACGGAAAUUCGACUUACCAGGUGAGCCAAAAGGCUCGCAGGCCUAUUUUUGAUAUAGUUCAAUAGAAGUCGAUAAACUGAACAACUUUUGUUCUACAUGUCUUUACAAAAUAUUUAUUGGUAAAAAGUUACCGAUAUCGACUGAUAUCGACAAAAAACCGACGCUUCAGGCGAGCCAUGAAGCCCUUAUUAUGUAACAUACAUGACCUACUUUUUGAUUUAAUGAGAUCAAGCUCGUUGAGAUGAACAUAUCCGCUUCUAUGACUUAUUACAAAAUAUUAAUAAUUUCUGAGAUAUUCUCAUAAACCUUUGGACCCUUCUGGGCCCCUAAUUUAAAGGGUCAGCCCCUUUUGCUUGAUAUCGUAAGAAAGGUCAUGACAUUUCAAACAUUUUUUGUUCAACAAGUAUUUAGAAAUUCUUUACUGUUCUCGAGUUAUUUCUAGAAGUAAUUUUUAGGGGCCAAACUGUAGCUCCCUAACGGGGCCACAUAGGGUAAAACCGAAACAUGCAUAUUGUUCAGAUCAUCAUUCUGAACAACUUUUGUUCUUUAUUGCUUUUCAAAAUAUUUGUCGUUUUCGAGAUACAAGGGGUAAAAAAUUUAUGGUUUUGGCCCUUAAAAUCCCUUAUUACGUAACAUAUGACCUAAAUUUUUAUAUGAAUAGAUUUGGAUUGUUGAGAUAAACAUUUUUUGUUCUUUGACUUAUACCAAAAUAUUAACGAUUUUUGAGAUAUUUGAUCUAGACUUUGAGCCCUUCUAGAUCCCUAAUUGAAGGGGCUAGCCCCUAAAUCUUGAUAUUUUCGAAAAGAUCUCGUAAAUGUGCACAACUUUUGUUCUACAUGUUUUAACAAAAUAUUUGCAAGAAAAAAGAUAUUGGAGAUCAAAGGUCAAAAAUCGCCGAAAUCGACGAAAAAUUUUGGCAUCCAUUUUUUCAGGUCCAGGCGAGCUUUUAGGCAAAUCGCCUCCGGUAAAAUCGAAUCCCCCACAAAUCUUCUAAAAUGUUUACUCUAUCUUGUAUAGAAAUUUCAAGACUCUAGCUUCAAAACUAACGGAGGAGAUGUGUGGACAACAAGGCCCUUCAAAAAGUCACUAAAAGAGAGAUAACUCCUGACCGGAAGUGACGUCAAGCACGAAAUUUUGCAAGCAAAGUCUCGUCACCAAAAGACAUCUUUCCUGAAAAUUUCGUGAAAAUCGAUCGAGAAAUGGCUGAGAAAAACGCGUGUACUACCAAGGAAAAUAAUAAUAAUAAUAAUAAUGAAGAAGAAGAACGCGAACAAUAAUAGUAAGGUCUUCCGCAGGAGACGGAAGACCUUAAUAAUAAAUAAACAGUAGAAUCACUAGAAGGUCUUCCGUUGGAAACGGAAGACCUUAAUAAAGAGUAGAAUCACUAGAAGGUCUUCCGUUGGAGACGGAAGACCUUAAUAAUAACUAGUAAUCCUAAUUGUUCGCGAACAAUUAGAAGGCUUUCCACCUACAAUGAUUUAAAAAGAGAUAUUUAAGAAUAUUUAAAAGACUUUGAAAAUAAAAAAUAAAUUUUUUACGAUGACCUUGACCUUUGACCUUGACCUGAUUUUGAAGGUCAAAGGUCAUCAGUCUUAAUGCAAGUGAUCCCAUGUCUUUAUCUAUAUUAAUAAUGUGAAGGCUAUAAGCUUAAAACAUGUUAAUCAAGACAUUCAGGGGCAAUAAUUUGUUCAGGGGUUUUUGGUUACUUUCUGUUAGCUUCUCAAUGCUAAAAAUACGUUGAAAGACCUUGAAAAUGAAAAAAAAAAAUUUUGAUGAUGACUUUAACCUUUGACCUUGACCUCAUUUUGAAGGUCAAAGGUCAUCGGUCUUAAUACAAGUGAUCCCAUGUCUCUAACUAAAUUAAUAUAAAAGUUAUAGGCUUAGAUAAUAAUAUUGGAGACUUUCAGGGGCAAUAACUAUGCUUAAGGGUUUUCGUAUCCCUUUGACUAUUUUUCUUUGCAAGACGGUUUUACUGUGAAUUCAUUAGUGAAGGUUUCGUGUCUCUAUGACUUCCCAUUAAGUAGGAGUAGCGAUAACAAGGUUUUCGACGCAAGUCUCCGAAAUUCAGAGGAGGGUCAAAGUUCAAAGUUGAAAUGCAUACUAUCAAAACCAAUCAAGAAGUCAAUACUUACCCAUAUAAUAUCUCAACGCUAUCUUAAGCAGGAAAGAGAGUAUAAAAAGUGCUAUUUUUUUUCUCUUUUCUGAUGACCUUGACAUUUGACCUUGACCUAAUUUUCAAGGUCAAAGGUCACCGAUUGUAUUCCAGUUGGUCCCAUGUCUCUACGACAAACCGUUCUCAAGUUCGACAUGUUUUACAAAUAAAUCGCAAAACAUAAAGAGGCAUUAACUCCCCUUAGGGGACAUUGAAUCCCUUCAUUUUAAAUUCUUCGCUUCUACUAAUUACCCUCUAUGUUUUAGAAAAGGUUUUAUCCUUCUAUCAUUUAUGGUUACAAAGUAGAAGCGCUAACAAUGAUUUCUGCGAAAGGUCCAAUAACUCCGUAAGGGGUCAAAGGUCAAUUAGGCAGGGUGAACUGUAUUCGUUUCUCAAGAAGUACUAUAUGAUGAACUAUAAAGUUUUUCGAUAAGUCUUAAGACGAAAA